AGAGCGCUUGGAGCCAGCGCUGCAGGGAGAUAUCAGUGCGCAGCCCGCAGAGGCGCUGCGGCCCGUGCAGCCCCGGAGGCCCCUCGCGGAGAAGGCGGCGGCGGAGGAGAGGCCGAGUUACCGCCCGCCGCCUGCGCCCCCCCAACCCCGCCGCCGCCGCCGCCGCUGCCGCCGCUGCCACUUCCCCCCCUCCCCGCGGCGCCGCAUCUUGAAUGGAAACAUGGCGGUGCCGGCUCGGACCUGCGGCGCCUCUCGGCCCGGCCCAGCGCGGACUGCGCGCCCCUGGCCCGGCUGCGGCCCCCAGCCUGGCCCCGGCACCCGGCGUCCGACGUCCGGGCCCCCGCGCCCGCUGUGGCUGCUGCUGCCGCCGCUGCUGCUUCUACCGCUGCUCGCCGCCCCCAGCGCCUCUGCCUACAGCUUCCCCCAGCAGCACACGAUGCAGCACUGGGCCCGGCGUCUGGAGCAGGAGGUAGACGGCGUGAUGCGGAUUUUUGGAGGCGUCCAGCAGCUCCGUGAGAUUUACAAGGACAACCGGAACCUGUUCGAGGUACAGGAGAAUGAGCCUCAGAAGUUGGUGGAGAAGGUGGCAGGGGACAUUGAGAGCCUUCUGGACAGGAAGGUGCAGGCCCUGAAGCAGCUCCUGACAUUCCCAACUGGGAAGCUCUCAGAGAUGGGCCAUGCUCCAAGCCCCAAAUGGGCUCAGCCCUGGCCAAAGGAGGGACAAGGAAGAGUCAGUCCCCAACAUGACCUCAAGAAAAUCUGGUGCAGAGUGGCCACCUCUGUAAAUCAGCUGAUGCCUGCACCACUGUAACCACAGCUGUUGACGGGGUGCAGGGCAGAAGCUAAGCAGGAAGAGGCCCAGAGCAGAGGGCAAAUGAGCAGGGCAGUAAGAAGUUGAAAACCAUUAAUUGUCCGUCCAGAGGAGGCGGAUGCCCACAACAUUCUGGGCAAAGGAGAUGGUGUGUGCAAAAGCACGGAGGUGUGAGAAUAUAGCAUAGUAGACAUUCAUCAGUCCUUUCUCAUGCAUUGGAGUGUCUGUGCAGCCAGG
rnacentral:sRNA from 1 species